rnacentral:miRNA from 1 species
CAUGCCUUAGGGUGGGAUGCAAGU